CUAGUGUUAGAGAAAAUUGGCUAGAGGCAAGGACAACCUCAGCCUGGCAUGUGUUAAUCAUUUGAUUGUUGACUGUUGAGUUGGGGGACUACUGUUUGUUAUCCAUUGUACCUGUAGAAUGGACACAAUGCAGUAUCAGAACUUACUUGUUCUAGUAAUUAGGUAAUUUUAUCUCCCUUCUCUCAGUCCAGAUUUGGUUGCAAUGGAAGUUGAUGUUCUCGUUUGCCUGGUGUAUGGCAGCUUAAGUGAAGCAUGGAUUUCAACAAAUAAGCGAGUGGGAAACUUGCCAUUAUUGAUUCUACCAGAUAGCACUGCUAUUUUUCCAUUACUAAAUGCAGUUUUGUUUCUAUUGAUAA
rnacentral:lncRNA from 1 species